ensembl:lncRNA
CAGAUCUCCAGUCUUCACCUCUCCACGCCCAGCCCCUUCCUUAAUGCAGUCUGGACUGGUUUCUGUUUCCAGGGCAACCACAAAUUUCUUUGUCAUUCCUUCAGAUUUGUCAUCUAGGUGCACACUUCUUUCAAGAUCUGCUCAGGAGAUGACUUGAGACCUAGAUAAUAACCAGUGAUCUACCACGCAGCAUGGAAGUUCUACUGUGAGUCAGUUUCCCCAAGUCAAAGCUGUUGGAUGACUGAUGCCCUGACUAAUUAAACAAGUAGCCAAGGUUCAUAAUUCUUGGACAAAUCCUGUCCCACCCAGAAGGCUACCCUGCCCCACCCAUUGUGAGCAAGCUCUUUGAUGUGAGGAAAUGGAGAGAAGGAAAUAACAUUUGUUUGAGAAAGUGAGAGCAAAUGGCAAUGUCAGGAUGAUGCCUACCCACUUUGACUCUUCUGAAGGAUGCAGAAGCCCCUAUGAAGGCACACAUCUGAUUUUUCAGGGCUACUGAAGGAUUGUUCAAUGGGCUGUAACAAGAAAACAAUUGCCAGUGCCAGUAACAGUAAUGACCUAGCUGGAAACUUCAUGAGGAACUCUGCUUUACUCAGUCUUGAGAUAACAGAGACAUGCCACCUGCAUGCACUACCUCCUUGCAUUCUGCCACCAUGUCACCAAUCCCUGACGGUAUCAUUCAGCUCUCUCUGACUUCAAAUAUAGUUCUUUGUGAUAGCAACAUCCAAAUCGCUUGAGAAACACCUGAGAGUCUUCUGUGGUUUAACAUAGUAUCAGGACUUGUUUAAGUGCUAAUAAACAUGGGUGUAAACACAUCGCAAGAGUCUCUUCCAGAACCCUUUCUGUGCACUGGUGAAACUUCCUGCCAUCUGCUGGAAGCUUGCCUAUCCUUUAGAGAUAGCUGUGAGCAGGGGGAAGGUACCAGACUAAGGGUGUACAGGGCAGUGAACCAAUGGAAUCUCACAGCCAAUAUUGGGCUGCCUGCCGUCAGCCACCAGAGGUGACAUUCACUCUACAAGAAAAAAUUAUUAAUGCUAACACCAUCCUGACUUUCUUCAGGAUCUCAUGGACAGAAAUUUAGAGGUUUAUUUCAAACAUUCAGCUUGGGUAAUCGCAAAUCUUACUUUUUAAUUCCAGAGGUCUUGGGAACAGUGCCAGAGCUGAGCUAAAGGGGAUAUCAUUCAUUAUCAGUAGUCUAACCUAUGCUGAGAGACAGAGUCCUCCAGCACCAGCAUGUCCAAAUUUCAGAGCAUGGUUCCUCCAUAACUCAAGAAGUAUGAGUUUCUUUUGUGAAAAAUUAAAGCACAGUCUGUGGUGUUAUAUGAACAAAAAUUUUAAAUUGUGGUACUUUCGCCAUCCACAUUUGAUUUGUUGAGUUGCAAUCAGGUGUGGUUCAUGAAAAGCAUAUAAACUAUGGAGGUGCUUCCACCAGCCAUCAGUACAAAGAAAUCACCAGUGUUUAUCAAUUUUUAUGCUAUAUUUUAAGAUGUCAUGCUAUCAUUACCUGGAUCUGUAAUGUAUCCAAAUCUCUUUUGGGGAAAAAAAAAAAAAAAAAAAAAAAAAAGCCAGUAGUUCUAUCUUAGGCAUUCCAAUACUUUGCUCUUUAAGGAUAUAUGUGUAGACAGUGAAUAGAUCCAACUGCCGUGAGAAAAGAAUAGAUGCAUGCCCUGCCCUGGCCCAUUACCCUCUUAUUCAUUUCAAUACACUGCUUGAUUUGUAACUAUCACUCCUUGCUCAGCUAUUUAUUUUAUGGUAGCUCAUUGCAAUUCCUGUCAUUGCUUCCUCCUUAUUUUUCCAUUUUACCUGAUGCAGCUUGGCAUGUUUGAUAAGCGUAAGUGGGCCCAACUCAGUCUUGGCAUCUUCAAGCACAGUGCAACUGACAUCAGUCAGAGCCACUAAUAACAGGAUGGACUUGGCACCAUGGAUGCACUGCAGGUAUCAUUGCAAACCGAUGACUUCAUUUCUGCCUUUAUCUGUUUCACCCACCAUCAAGGCCUCAAAACCCAAACGUGAAAUUGUGCUUAGUUUCAAGAAACAUGAGAAUUUUCUUCAGUGUUUUCUACCUGUCUCUACUGCCACUCUAGCUUCAGAUUUCCAUUUCUCUUGGUGUUUUCUGCUCUCAUCAUGGGACUAUGUUUAUUCCCAUCCUCUAUGGUCUCAGCAUCAGGACUCGAGAAGAUGAGGCAGUUUGAGCUGUGCUGUAUUAUUUAUCUCACCUAUUUUCCCUUCAGCAAGAAAUGACUCUGAACUCUUCCUCCUUCCACUCUCCCCCAAAUUUCUCCUCUUCUUUCCUCAGUAUUAAGAGUCAGCAGAAGUAGAAAUCCUAGGUAUUCAAGUGGUGGCAGAGAUUUAUUUUUUUUAUUUGUUUUAAUUUUGCAUUACAUAUGUAUGUCUAUCUCUGGUAAAAGUAAGUUGUUUUUCUAAAUGAAAGGAUGCCCAAUAUGUUUAUCUGUUAAUUUUGAAUUCACAAGAAAAAAUGGAACAAAAUGCUACAACUGUUGCCAUCAUCUAGAAGGAAUAAAAAUUUCAGACUCUGGUCCCAGCUUUAUGCAUUUGAAAUGCAGAUUUCAGUAUUUCAGUGCUAGCUGUUUUAUAGGAAAUACAUAGGUAAAGCUUCUUGAAAGAAAUGAGGUACAUCUAUUUGCUUAAUCUCAGAAGAGAGGAAAAAUGAUUGUAAUGCUUCUGUUUUCAGAGUAGUGGAUCGAUCUUGCUUUAUUUUAAGAAUCUUUAAAUAUUGGAUUUAUCAGGGUCAUCGCAUAAAAAGUGGGAGAUUGCCGGGUGUGAUUUCCUCUCUUCUCUACAAUCUACUCUGCAGCAUCCAGGAGAAUAAGUUAUGUGAAAUAAUUAAAUUACAGCAAUAAAUGUUA